UACGGGGGGGGCAAGCGUUGUUCGGAAUUACUGGGCGUAAAGGGCUCGUAGGUGGCCAACUAAGUCAGACGUGAAAUCCCUCGGCUUAACCGGGGAACUGCGUCUGAUACUGGAUGGCUUGAGUUCGGGAGAGGGAUGCGGAAUUCCAGGUGUAGCGGUGAAAUGCGCAGAUAUCAGGAGGAACACCGGUGGCGAAGGCGGAUCUCUGGGCCGUAACUGACGCUGAGGAGCGAAAGCAUGGGGAGCGAACAGG
rnacentral:rRNA from 1 species